rnacentral:lncRNA from 1 species
AUGCUGUCAGGAAGACUCCCUGCCCAGUGCCCCCUCCAGGCCUUGACAAGCAGGUCCCAGUCCGGAAUGCCUCAGGCUCCAGGGGCACGUGCCCCCCGGGGUGUGCCCCCAUCUCUGCAGCGAGAGAGGCUGGGCCCUAAUACCCACCGGGGCUCCCGGCCCACCUGCUGGGCUGACCCUGUGUGUACCUCCUCUCCCGGGUCCCUGGAGAUCUCUGCCGGGAGGGCUCUUCCUCCCCACCCCAGCACACACUGGGGAGAGCUGGGCUGACCCUGUGUGUACCUCCUCUCCCGGGUCCCUGGAGAUCUCUGCCGGGAGGGCUCUUCCUCCCCACCCCAGCACACACUGGGGAGAGCUGGCCGCUGCUGGGCUGAGCCUCUCUCACGGGCCUCUGCCCAAACCCCACCCCACCCGGGGUCCCUCAAGGACUCCCUGGCUCUCCCCCUUCCAAGGAGAGGCCCUUCUGGCUGUGGCACAGGAGUUGAUCGGGUCCCUGCUCCCAAGAAUGCUCCCAGGAAAUGUAGGGAUUCCUUGGCCAUUCUGGAUGCACUCGUGUGGCUAGAACCAGGCUGGCCUUGCUCAAAGUCAGGCUUGUCUGAGCAGCACACUUGAGCUUGCCCACCCCCAUCCCUGCCGGGGGGGAGGGGGGGGGGGGGGGGGGACCCAAAUCUCAAGGGCAGAUGAAGGGGCCACCUGCCAGGGAGCUUCAGACUGAGGCUCCAGUGUCUCGUGCUCUCUCCUGAGCCAGGAUCCUGAAACCCCACCUCCACUCUGAGCCCCUCCAGCCCCCUUUCCUCGUGGGAGCUUUCCAAAUAGGAAUCAUGACAGGUCACUCCCUUUGUCCUUUGAUAAAGUCCUCUCACCAGGACCAGAGGGAAGGCCCUUCUGUGUCCCAACACCCCUCCUCCUUUCCUGAUCACAUCCCCUGCCAUCCCCCCCACCCCAGCAGCCCCUCUCAACCCAGGAUCUGUUCCAGAGCCCGCCCCUCUUUGCACACCUAGGCCUUCCAUCAGCUGACCCUGCAGGGCCUGGGAGAGACCCCACCAUAGUCUUCAGGGGCUGGGCUCCUGGGUCCCCCAGACCUCCUAGUUCCCUCCCUCAUGGAAGAUUCUAGCCCCUCCCACCGCUGCUCAGGGAAAGCUAGAAAGUAACUCUAGACCAGUGACAAUGAGAACACAGCAGAGAGGAAGGAGGGUGUGGGUGCAGGGAAGGCAGGGCCAGGGGCAGAGGAAGGAGCUGAGAGCCCUGGGUGAGCACUCAGGAGCCCUGACUCAGCUCCCUGACUGACUCCAGGAGCUAGAAACACAGAUUCAAGGCCCGGAGAAGGAAGGAAAUACAGAGGGGAGCUGAUAGAGCAUAGAAAUAAUAGGGAAGGGCAGCCGGGUGGCUCAGGGGUUUGGUGCAUGCCUUCAGCCCAGAGCGUGAUCCUGGUGACCCGGGAUCGACUCCCAUCUCAGGCUCUCUGCGUGCAGCCUGCUUCUCCCUCUGCCCGUGUCUCUGCCUCUCUCUGUGUCUCUCAUGAAUAAAUGAAUAAAAUAUUUUUUAAAAAGAUAUCAUAGGGAAAAUAUCAUUAUUGAACCUAUAGUUGAUUCCUGGAAAGAACAACAAAUCUGACCGACAUUGGGCUCCAUGGACUCAGAUGAAGGAACUGGAAUUAGAACAGGAGACUGGAGGGCCCCCGGGUGGCUCAGUGGUUGAGCAUCUGUCUGCCUUUGGCUCAGGGCGUGAUCCCAGGGUUCUGGGAUGGAAUCCCAUAUUGGGCUCCCCUCAGGGAGCCUGCUUCUCCCUCUGCUGUGUCUCUACUUCUCUGUGUCUCUCAUGAAUAAAUAAAUUAAAAUCUUAAAAAAAAAACAAAAACAGGAGAUGUGAGAGUGAGGGCAUCCCCGCUGACCCCCCAGACACAAGGGACUGAGACAGAGAUCCGGGAACAGCCUCCUCCAAACAGGAGGAGAGCCCAGGGGAGGAACAGGAAGCCAUCCCGAGAGCUUUUAUUGCAGUUUCCACAAGUGGGAGCAGUUCAACCACCCAUCAGACAGCCAGAGAGGCCAGUCACCUGACCAAGCAA